rnacentral:lncRNA from 1 species
AUGCACACUGAGAAAUUUCUCUCCCAUCAAUUACUUUUACAUUUUAGAACCAUUUACUUUCUGUUUGCUCCAUGCAUUAAAGCUACUCUUACCCUUAAUUUGACCUGCCUCUUGAGAAACCAGGAAGCAACAGUUAAAACUGGACAUGGGACAACAGACUGGUUCCAAAUAGGAAAAGGAGUACGUCAAGGCUGCAUAUUGUCACCCUGCUUAUUUAACUUAUGUGCAGAGUACAUCAUGAGAAACUCUGGGCUGGAAGAAGCACAAGCUGGAAUCAAGAUUGCCGGGAGAAAUAUCAAUAACCUCAGAUAUGCAGAUGACACCACCCUUAUGGCAGAAAGUGAAGAGGAGCUAAAAAGCCUCUUGAUGAAAGUGAAAGAGGAGAGUGAAAAAGCUGGCUUAAAGCUCAACAUUCAGAAAACGAAGAUCAUGGCAUCUGAUCCCAUCACUUCAUGGGAAAUAGAUGGGGAAACAGUAGAAACAGUGUCAGACUUUAUUUUUUUGGGCUCCAAAAUCACUGUAGAUGGUGACUGCAGCCAUGAAAUUAAAAGAUGCUUGCUCCUUGGAAGAAACAUUAUAACCAACCUAGAUAGCAUAUUGAAAAGCAGAGACAUUACUUUGCCAACAAGGGUCCGUCUAGUCAAGGCUAUGGUUUUUCCAGCGGACAUGUAUGGAUGUGAGAGUUGGACUGUGAAGAAUGCUGAGCACCGAAGAAUUGAUGCUUUCGAACUGUGGUGUUGGAAAAGACUCUUGAGAGUCCCUUGGACUGCAAUGAGACCCAACCAGUCCAUUCUGAAGGAGAUCAGCCCUGGGAUUUCUUUGGAAGGAAUGAUGCUAAAGCUGAAACUCCAGUACUUUGGCCACCUCAUGAGAAGAGUUGACUCAUUGGAAAAGACUCUGAUGCUGGGAGAGAUUGAGGGCAGGAGGAGAAGGGGACGACCGAGGAUGAGAUGGCUGGAUGGCAUCACUGACUCGAUGGACGCGAGUCUGAGUGAACUCCAGGAGUUGGUGAUGGACAGGGAGGCCUGGCGUGCUGUGACUCAUGGGGUUUCAAAGAGUCGGACACGACUGAGCGACUGA